GACGAACGCUGGCGGCGUGCCUAAUACAUGCAAGUCGAGCGGACAGAGGGGAACUUGCUCCCGGAAGUCAGCGGCGGACGGGUGAGUAACACGUGGGCAACCUGCCUGUAAGACUGGGAUAACUUCGGGAAACCGGAGCUAAUACCGGAUACGUUCGUUUCUCGCAUGAGAGAAGAUGGAAAGAUGGUUUCGGCUAUCACUUACAGAUGGGCCCGCGGCGCAUUAGCUAGUUGGUGAGGUAAUGGCUCACCAAGGCGACGAUGCGUAGCCGACCUGAGAGGGUGAUCGGCCACACUGGGACUGAGACACGGCCCAGACUCCUACGGGAGGCAGCAGUAGGGAAUCUUCCGCAAUGGACGAAAGUCUGACGGGGCAACGCCGCGUGAACGAUGAAGGCCUUCGGGUCGUAAAGUUCUGUUGUUAGGGAAGAACAAGUACCAGAGUAACUGCUGGUACCUUGACGGUACCUAACCAGAAAGCCACGGCUAACUACGUGCCAGCCGCCGCCGUAA
rnacentral:rRNA from 1 species